UACGGAGGAUGCAAGCGUUAUCCGGAAUGAUUGGGCGUAAAGCGUCCGCAGGUGGCUGUGUAAGUCUGCUGUCAAAGAGCGAAGCUCAACUUCGUAAAGGCAGUGGAAACUACACGGCUAGAGUGCGUUCGGGGCAGAGGGAAUUCCUGGUGUAGCGGUGAAAUGCGUAGAGAUCAGGAAGAACACCGGUGGCGAAGGCGCUCUGCUAGGCCGCAACUGACGACUGAGGGACGAAAGGCUAAGGGGAGCGAAUGGGAUUACGAUACCCGAGU
rnacentral:rRNA from 1 species